CCCCCAUUUCAUGAGAGCUACAGACUGCAUAGUUUAGAGUCUUUGGGAGUUAAAGGGUUAAGUUAACUGAGUCUGGUGUAAUAAACUGCAGCCAAUCAUAUUAGGAAGCUUGGCUUGUCCCGCCUUAGUUGCUUCUGAUUGGACAGAACUACUGCAGCUAGAAGUGCGGUUCCCCUCAAUCAGUCUCUCUCUCUCUGCGUGCUCUGGAGGAAGAAGCUGUGCCCCAAAGUCAGCUAGAAAGCUGUGUCUCACAGUUAGCUUAGGAAAGUGACCAAAAUAAGCCUCUUUUGAUAAAAGAGUGAACUAUUUAAAGCUAGAAGCAUCACCUGUCCAUCUAAUGGGCUGGAAAUUCGUGAAUUGUGCAAAAACCUGACCUAUGAACACCGACUAUCUGGUGAGUUAGACUAUGUUUGCUUUAGCUAGCUGCUAACUUUGCUAACAGACCGCAUGGUCUGCUGCUGUAGUCUGCUGAGCUCAGAAAUGCUGAAUUUUCACUCAAAUGUCUAGAUUAUAUUACUAAAAACAGAUAAAGGAGUAAAUAAAGAAAAUAGCUGUUGAGUAUUGCUUUUAAUGAAGAUUAAUAUUUUGAGAAUUUAAUUAUUACACAUUAAAUAAAACAUUUCUUUUACUCAUAGCUGAAGCUGGUUCUAGAGCUAUUGAGGGUAAAGGACCAAAAAGGAUACCCGUUCAUCCAAGAGGUAUAUUUCCAAUAAGUUGUGUGUAAUGUGUGUAAAGAAAAGAACUGCCCUUGUUGAUUUUUUUGAAAGGUUUAUUGAAGUUUAUAUGUACAUUGUAAUAUGUUGUGUAGCAUUAGAACCUGUGAAAAGAGAAAAAAAAUUGUGUAAAUACUGUUUAAACAUAUGCUAGAAUACAAGAAAAAAAAAGUAAAAUACUUACCUGUUACGUUCCUGUAAAAUCUGUAAAGGGAAAUGUUAAUACUGUUAAUAAGAGGUUUUAUUUUAUAUUAAGGAAAUUAUUUGGGGUUAUAUGUUGAACUGAAUGUGACUACAGAGUAAUGGUCAGUGAUAUUUAGAAGUAAUAGUUUCUGUACCUGCUUGCUUAAGCAGGUCAGGUUUUUUUUGAGGGCGCUGGAAACCUGGGAGAGAAGAUUCCCUCAGCAUGACUUCGGACCCUCUUCUGUGAAAGCGAUGGCGAGCCACCCAAAGGAGAACUGAGCUAAAAGACUACUCUUGAGUCCAUUUCAAAUUACCUGGUCACGUGGUAGGACAAAGAAAAGUGAUUGAGAGACUGAGCUUAUUUUAUUUUUAUUUUAUUUUAUUUUAUUUAUUGUUUCAACACAUUUGUAUUUAUUUAUUGUGGGUUUACUGAUUUACUGAAGUUGUUGGGUUAUUGAAAAAAGUAGAACUAGAGGUGUAUAUUCUGAACUAAAUUUUAUUAGUGGAUCUAAAUAAACAAAUUAACUAAACUAGCAACUAAUAGUAAAUUAAAUAAUAUUGAACUCUGUCAGUGUAAAAGUUUAAAGUAUAAAUAGCUAAA